AGCUUGCUCCUUUGAAGUUAGCGGCGGACGGGUGAGUAACACGUGGGUAACCUACCUAUAAGACUGGAAUAACUUCGGGAAACCGGAGCUAAUGCCGGAUAACAUUUGGAACCGCAUGGUUCUAAAGUAAAAGAUGGUUUUGCUAUCACUUAUAGAUGGACCCGCGCCGUAUUAGCUAGUUGGUAAGGUAACGGCUUACCAAGGCAACGAUACGUAGCCGACCUGAGAGGGUGAUCGGCCACACUGGAACUGAGACACGGUCCAGACUCCUACGGGAGGCAGCAGUAGGGAAUCUUCCGCAAUGGACGAAAGUCUGACGGAGCAACGCCGCGUGAGUGAUGAAGGUUUUCGGAUCGUAAAACUCUGUUAUUAGGGAAGAACAAAUGUGUAAGUAACUGUGCACAUCUUGACGGUACCUAAUCAGAAAGCCACGGCUAACUACGUGCCAGCAGCCGCGGUAAUACGUAGGUGGCAAGCGUUAUCCGGAAUUAUUGGGCGUAAAGCGCGCGUAGGCGGUUUCUUAAGUCUGAUGUGAAAGCCCACGGCUCAACCGUGGAGGGUCAUUGGAAACUGGGAAACUUGAGUACAGAAGAGGAAAGUGGAAUUCCAUGUGUAGCGGUGAAAUGCGCAGAGAUAUGGAGGAACACCAGUGGCGAAGGCGACUUUCUGGUCUGUAACUGACGCUGAUGUGCGAAAGCGUGGGGAUCAAACAGGAUUAGAUACCCUGGUAGUCCACGCCGUAAACGAUGAGUGCUAAGUGUUAGGGGGGUUUCCGCCCCUUAGUGCUGCAGCUAACGCAUUAAGCACUCCGCCUGGGGAGUACGACCGCAAGGUUGAAACUCAAAGGAAUUGACGGGGACCCGCACAAGCGG
rnacentral:rRNA from 1 species